rnacentral:lncRNA from 1 species
AUAUUCAUGGAGGGGGAAGGGAGGAAGAAGUUCUGGACUAGAGCAUGGUGUGUUUCUUAGGGUCAAGGGGCUCUGAUGAGCAUUAUGAACAGUCUGCUCUAAAGGCAUAAGUGGACUCUCCAUCCAGGACGUGGAUGGACCAGGAAACAACAAGAGGGACCUCACAAGGGCCUGGAAUCCUUUACGUUGGGAUUGAGAUCCACUGGUCCAGACUGAUUUGAAUCAAAAGAAUGGAAGGAGAAGAGGUAACAUACUGGACCCCUCAUCACAUCCACCGAAGCCUUUCCAAAGGAAGUCAUCACUGGACCUUGCGACGGAAGCAAAGCAAAAGUCCAGCGCUUACUGUGACAGAACAAGUUAGUCUGUAGCUCACGGAACCUUUCCUUAACCCAAAUCAUCAAUUGAGAUGGAUCGCCAUAUUCCUACCGUACCCACGAGAUCUGUUUCCAGAAACAUAACAUCUGUUAUUUGUAUAAAAGGGACGUGUUUGUCCAGGCUUCAUGGGGCUGCCUGUGCAAAGCUUUUCCUCCAUCUGCUUCGUGCUCUGGCAGCAGCGUUAUCAAGAGAGUGAUCCAUGCUGAG